UACGUAGGGUCCGAGCGUUGUCCGGAAUUAUUGGGCGUAAAGGGCUCGUAGGCGGUUCGUCACGUCGGGAGUGAAAACUCGGGGCUUAACCCCGAGCCUGCUUCCGAUACGGGCAGACUAGAGGUAUGCAGGGGAGAACGGAAUUCCUGGUGUAGCGGUGAAAUGCGUAGAUAUCUGGAGGAACACCGGUGGCGAAGGCGGCAUCCUGGACCAAUUCUGACGCUGAGGAGCGAAAGCCAGGGGAGCAAACGGG
rnacentral:rRNA from 1 species